CGCUGAUGCAUUAAAGAGGGGGUGGUCCCCUGAUCCAAGAUGGCGGCUCUAUUGACGCAUGCGUUCCAAUGUACUGCCGUUGCCAAGGCGACAUCUAGGGGUAGAUAUAUAUGGCACCGAACAUUAGCCACAUGCUAACAGUAUAGCACGUCUGGAGCGCAAGUGUUCAUGGGAUAUGUAGUUUUCACACAGUUACCGAACUACAAUCAGCGAUAAUACAAGUUACUAAUGUGUAAAACACACAUUUAAAAUGUCGGAUAUUACAAUUGUCAUAUUAGUUAUUAGAAGAACCGAACAUGUGAAUAAAAUCCGUAUUACUGAAUUGACCAGACUUUACUUCCGGUAUUGGUGAGACAGUGGUGCCCCCUGCUUCCGGUAGCAGUGUGUUUCCUUCUCCCUGAAGUGAGAGGAGAAAAUAUGUGAGAAAGUUUUACACGGACCACAAUAGAGUUAAUAGAGUUUUAAACUCCACACGGUGAGUUUAUUACAGAUAUCAUCAUACAGAAACAUGACUUUAUGUGUUAAUACAGCGCUGCACGUUUAAUAAACCACUUAUGUUUGUGUAAAAAGACACAAUUCAGUAAAAUAUGUAGACAUAACGGGCUGUUACUGUAUUUAAAAUUGUUUAUAAUGUCAAUAAAAUAUUUAUUUACUAGAGAAAAUAUCCCUCGUGUAGAGAGUUUGUAUAAUCUACACAACGUAAUGACGUCACUCGGUUUACUGCUUUAGUUAUGUUGUUUUUUAACAUCACAAACUUUUUGUUGUCAUUGUGACAGUACGAAUUGAGGUAAGAAUGGUGAUUGACGCUCAUGACAACCAAUCAGUAGCGAGUAUGCACUAUUUAGAGCGGGUUGGUUGAGUCUGGGAUUGCUCGUUUGUUGUACCCUUUGCUUGUCUUUUCAUCUGUCUUUGUCUUUGUGUGUGUGUGUGUGUGUGUGUGUGUGUGUGUGUGUGUGUGUGUGUGUGUGUGUGUGUGUGUGUGUGUGUGUGUGUGUACACGCACGCGCGCGCGCCUGUCGGAUGCUGUUUUGGAUUUGUUUACUACCUUCGUUUCAGGUAGGUGGAAGUUGUAUUGCAAACAAUGUCUAGCUUCAAUGCCGGUCGGGUGGCGUGAGUAAUGUGCAGUCCUUGUACUUUAGUUUAACAGCGGGUUAUUUGAAGGCUGCGUAUCCUGAACGAUGAACUGAUUGUAAAAACCCCUCUAUCCUCAUUGGGAUUCUCCCUUUUGUCCCGGGCGAUUAUUAUUGCAGCCCCGGUGCAUUUAUCGGGGCUGGUCUAAGGACGACGUGGCCGCUCAUUUGUGUCCUGUUUUCCUCAAAACUUUUUAACACAGUUUUUUUCGUUUGUUUUUCUUUUUAAGAUUUGUGUAUUGUGACUCAUACUGUGCUGUGGUGACUGUUGCCCGUCGUGUUACGGUGGAAUUGUGACUUCAAUUUGCUUUUCAUUCAUUUCUGUUUGAGAUUUGUUUAUUGAUUUAGUUUUUGAUUUCUUUCAGGAGCUGUGGAAUCCCACGGGAAUCUUUGGUGCUGCUUCAGCGUUUGCCAUGUGACACUUUUGAAGUGGACGAGUGUGUGAUCUGAGAGAACUGCUAUGAAUGGUACCAUAGUAUUGAGCCUUUUUUAAGUGAUUUUUUUUUUUAAUUUGAGUUUUGAAUAAACUUUGUUUUUAUAUGA